rnacentral:rRNA from 1 species
UGGGUAACCUGCCCUUGACUGGGGGACAACCGGGGGAAACUCCGGCUAAUACCGCAUGAUGUGCUGGGUCUCAAGGCCUGGUACCAAAGCUCCGGCGGUCAAGGAUGGGCCCCGCGGCAGAUUAGCUUGUUGGUGAGGUAACGGCUCACCAAGGCAACGAUCUGUAGCUGGUCUGAGAGGACGAUCAGCCACACUGGAACCUGACACGUACCGUACGACGUACCCGUACCGGGUAGGGCGA